rnacentral:rRNA from 1 species
UAGCCGUAAACGAUACUCGCUAGGUGUCGGCCACGGUGCGACCGUUGUCGGUGCCGUAGGGAAGCCGUGAAGCGAGCCACCUGGGAAGUACGGCCGCAAGGCUGAAACUUAAAGGAAUUGGCGGGGGGAGCACCACAACGGGUGGAGCUUGCGGUUUAAUCGGACUCAACGCCGGGAAUCUCACCGGAUAAGACAGCUGAAUGAUAGUCGGGAUGAAGACUCUACUUGACUAGCUGAGAGGAGGUGCAUGGCGUAGACGUCU